UCCCUGAUAGCUCAGUUGGUAAGAGCACUCGACUGUUAAUCGAGUUGUCACAGGUUCGAGCCCUGUUCGGGGAGCCA
rnacentral:tRNA from 1 species